GGACGACGCUGGCGGCGGGCUUAACACAUGCAAGGUCAAAGGGGUUCUGUCAGCAAUGGCAGGACCACUGGCGCACGGGUGAGUAACGCGUAGGCAAUCUACCCGAGGGAGGGGAUAACCCGCCGAAAGGCGGGCUAGUACCGCAUAAAGCAGUUGGUCCGCAUGGACCUGGCUGCCAAAGGGGUGACUUACCCUGGGAUGAGCCUGCGUCGCAUUAGCUAGUUGGUGGGGUAACGGCCCACCAAGGCGAUGAUGCGUAGCUGGUCUGAGAGGAUGAUCAGCCACACUGGCACUGAGACACGGGCCAGACUCCUACGGGAGGCAGCAGUGAGGAAUAUUGCGCAAUGGAGGAAACUCUGACGCAGCCACGCCGCGUGCAGGAAGAAGGUCCUAUGGAUUGUAAACUGCUUUUAUUCGGAAAGAACAAACGGGUUUCGACCUGUUCUGACGGUACCGAUUGAAUAAGCACCGGCUAACUCCGUG
rnacentral:rRNA from 1 species